rnacentral:rRNA from 1 species
AUUGAACGCUGGCGGCAUGCCUUACACAUGCAAGUCGAACGGCAGCACGGGAGCAAUCCUGGUGGCGAGUGGCGAACGGGUGAGUAAUAUAUCGGAACGUGCCCAGUCGUGGGGGGAUAACGCAGCGAAAGCUGUGCUAAUACCGCAUACGAUCUAUGGAUGAAAGCGGGGGAUCGCAAGACCUCGCGCGAUUGGAGCGGCCGAUAUCAGAUUAGCUAGUUGGUGGGGUAAAAGCCCACCAAGGCGACGAUCUGUAGCUGGUCUGAGAGGACGACCAGCCACACUGGAACUGAGACACGGUCCAGACUCCUACGGGAGGCAGCAGUGGGGAAUUUUGGACAAUGGGCGCAAGCCUGAUCCAGCAAUGCCGCGUGAGUGAAGAAGG